rnacentral:rRNA from 1 species
UACGUAGGGUGCAAGCGUUAAUCGGAAUUACUGGGCGUAAAGCGUGCGCAGGCGGUGAUGUAAGACAGGUGUGAAAUCCCCGGGCUCAACCCGGGAACUGCGUCCGAUACUGGCAGGCUUGAAUCCGGGAGAGGGAUGCGGAAUUCCAGGUGUAGCGGUGAAAUGCGUAGAUAUCUGGAGGAAUACCGGUGGCGAAGGCGGCAUCCUGG